UACGUAGGGUGCGAGCGUUGUCCGGAAUUAUUGGGCGUAAAGAGCUCGUAGGCGGCUUGUCGCGUCGGAUGUGAAAGCCCGGGGCUUAACUCCGGGUCUGCAUUCGAUACGGGCAGGCUAGAGUUCGGUAGGGGAGAUGGAAUUCCUGGUGUAGCGGUGAAAUGCGCAGAUAUCAGGAGGAACACCGGUGGCGAAGGCGGGUCUCUGGGCCGAUACUGACGCUGAGGAGCGAAAGCGUGGGGAGCGAACAGGAUUAGAACCGGUACGUCGAGUCCAAGUCCAUCUGCUACCGA
rnacentral:rRNA from 1 species